rnacentral:rRNA from 1 species
GUAGGGAGCGAGCGUUAUCCGGAAUUAUUGGGCGUAAAGCGUGCGUAGGCGGUUUUUUAAGUCAAAUGUGAAAGUCCACAGCUCAACUGUGGAAGGUCAUUUGAAACUGGAUUACUUGAGUACGGCAGAGGUUAGUGGAAUUCAAUGUGUAGCGGUGGAAUGCGUAGAUAUAUUGAGGAACACCAGUGGCGAAGGCGGCUAACUGGACCGGAACUGACGCUGAGGCACGAAAGCGUGGGGGGCAAACAGGAUUAGAUACCCUGGUAGUCCACGCCGUAAACGAUGAGAACUAAGUGUUGGGGUUACCCAGUGCUGAAGCUAACGCAUUAAGUUCUCCGCCUGGGGAGUACGACCGCAAGGUUGAAACUCAAAGGAAUUGACGAGUCUCCGCACAAGCGGUGGAGCAUGUUGUUUAAUUCGAAGAUACGCGAAGAACCUUACCAGGUCUUGACAUCUUCUUGAUCGCUCUAGAGAUAGAGUUUUCCCUUCGGGGCAAGAAUGACAGGUGGUGCAUGGUUGUCGUCAGCUCGUGUCGUGAGAUGUUGGGUUAAGUCCCGCAACGAGCGCAACCCCUAUUGAUAGUUGCUAACAUUAAGUUGAGGACUCUAUUGAGACUGCCGGUGAUAAACCGGAGGAAGGUGGGGAUGACGUCAAAUCAUCAUGCCCCUUAUGACCUGGGCUACAAACGUGCUACAAUGGCCGGUACAAAGAGUUGCCAACCCGCGAGGGGGAGCUAACCUUUUAAAACCGGUCUCAGUUCGGAUCGAA